GACAGAGGGUGCAAACGUUGCUCGGAAUCACUGGGCGUAAAGGGCGUGUAGGCGGGAAGGAAAGUCAGAUGUGAAAUCCCCAGGCUCAACCUGGGAACUGCAUUUGAAACUCCCUUUCUUGAGUACCGGAGAGGAAAGUGGAAUUCCUGGUGUAGAGGUGAAAUUCGUAGAUAUCGUAAGGAAGACCAGUGGCGAAGGCGGGUCUCUGGACAGUUCCUGACGCUGAGGCACGAAGGCCAGGGGAGCAAACGGG
rnacentral:rRNA from 1 species